rnacentral:rRNA from 1 species
GGGCCCGCACAAGCGGUGGAGCAUGUGGUUCAAUUCGAAGCAACGCGAAGAACCUUACCAACCUUUGACAUGCCUCGUAUGGUCGCCAGAGAUGGCUUCCUUCCCGCAAGGGGCGAGUGCACAGGUGCUGCAUGGCUGUCGUCAGCUCGUGUCGUGAGAUGUUGGGUUAAGUCCCGCAACGAGCGCAACCCUCGCCCUUAGUUGCCAUCAUUUAGUUGGGCACUCUAAGGGGACUGCCGGUGAUAAGCCGCGAGGAAGGUGGGGAUGACGUCAAGUCCUCAUGGCCCUUACAGGUUGGGCUACACACGUGCUACAAUGGCGGUGACAGUGGGAUGCAAUGGAGUAAUCCUGCGCAAAUCUCAAAAAGCCGUCUCAGUUCGGAUUGUGCUCUGCAACUCGAGCACAUGAAGUUGGAAUCGCUAGUAAUCGCAGAUCAGCACGCUGCGGUGAAUACGUUCCCGGGCCUU